rnacentral:rRNA from 1 species
CCUGAUGCAGCAACGCCGCGUGAGGGACGACGGCCUUCGGGUUGUAAACCUCUUUUAGUAGGGAAGAAGCGAAAGUGACGGUACCUGCAGAAAAAGCACCGGCUAACUACGUGCCAGCAGCCGCGGUAAUACGUAGGGUGCAAGCGUUGUCCGGAAUUAUUGGGCGUAAAGAGCUCGUAGGCGGUUUGUCGCGUCUGCUGUGAAAACCCGAGGCUCAACCUCGGGCCUGCAGUGGGUACGGGCAGACUAGAGUGCGGUAGGGGAGAAUGGAAUUCCUGGUGUAGCGGUGGAAUGCGCAGAUAUCAGGAGGAACACCGAUGGCGAAGGCAGUUCUCUGGGCCGUAACUGACGCUGAGGAGCGAAAGCGUGGGGAGCGAACAGGAUUAGAUACCCUGGUAGUCCACGCCGUAAACGUUGGGCGCUAGAUGUGGGGACCAUUCCACGGUUUCCGUGUCGCAGCUAACGCAUUAAGCGCCCCGCCUGGGGAGUACGGCCGCAAGGCUAAAACUCAAAGGAAUUGACGGGGGCCCGCACAAGCGGCGGAGCAUGCGGAUUAAUUCGAUGCAACGCGAAGAACCUUACCAAGGCUUGACAUAUACGAGAACGGGCCAGAAAUGGUCAACUCUUUGGA